GCCACACCACCCUGAACGCGCCCGAUCUCAUCUGAUCUCGUCUGAUAUCGGACGCUGAGCAGGGUCUGGCCUGGUUAGUACUUGGAUGGGAGAAGGGACAAAAUCUCAAAGUAACUCAAAGGUGC
rnacentral:rRNA from 1 species